rnacentral:rRNA from 1 species
AUUGAACGCUAGCGGGAUGCUUUACACAUGCAAGUCGAACGGAGUGGCGGACGGGUGAGUAAUAUAUCGGAACGUGCCCAGUAGCGGGGGAUAACCACUCGAAAGUUUGGAUAAUACCGCAUACUUUUGGAGCGGCCGAUAUCGGUUUAGUUAGUUGGUGGGGUAAAGGCUCACCAAGGCGACGACCCAUAGCUGGUUUGGGAGGACAACCAGCCACACUGGGACUGAGACACGGCCCAGACUCCUACGGGAGGCAGCAGUGGGGAAUAUUGGAAGAUGGGGGAAACCCUGAUCCAGCCAUCCCGCGUGUAUGAUGAAGGCCUUCGGGUUGUAAAGUACUUUUGGCAGAGAGGCGGUGUCUGCAGAAUAAGCACCGGCUAACUACGUGCCAGCAGCCGCGGUAAUUC